GUCUGCAGGGCACAGGACGCCUAGGUAGCGGAGCGGCUGGUGCGCUGUCGUCUGUGGUAGAGUGAGGUGUUGGCGACAGGAGAAUCGUGUGAAACCAAAGGAAAGAGAAUGUUGGGAAGAAGUAUUGAAGGUAGCAGCUCCCUGUUUUAUCCACAUGGUUCCCAUUUCUAGAAAACUGCUCCUAUCAGUAAACCGUUCGACCUCAGAGCUGUCAGGAGGUUCAUCGAGAAGAUCAGACCUGCUGGACUCUUCUUCCAGAGCCUAGGACAGAGGGCAGAUGGAGCUCGUUUGGAUCCCUUAGGACACAAGUCUUCCCCAACCACAGGACCCCCACCAAAGUGGCCUUCUCUGGAACCUCCCCUCCCAGGCCUCAGUGCUCGGGUAACUUGGUCUUCCCUCGCUCCUGUCCCAGCGCCCAUCACCCAGAAGGAUGCAGAUCACCACCUCCGGCCCAGCGUUCCAGCAGCAACCCAGGUGACUAAGGAUGGGAUGAUUCUACAAAGAAUUCUGGAAAGAGGCAGCGCGCACCAGCAAAAUCCAACGGCUCUCCAGAUACACCCUGCGGCACCUCCCCUAAGCCCAGGCACCCCCAAGAAGCAAUCUGGGCAGUUGCUAGAGGCAAGAUGAUGAUUCAUUUUCAGACUCUCAGGAUGUGCCAAGGGCAUAGAAGCCCUAGGUAAGAGAACCAGGCAGAACCGAUGGCACAACACGAAGCAGAGCCCACCACUGAGCCCACCAGCCCAGCCAGGGUUACCUUUUUGCGUGGCCGAAGCUUGUCCCGCCAUUCCUUUAGGUUCUGGUUAUGGCUUUCGUCCAGGGCCUUCAGCUUCUGGGUUUCAUGCUCUACCAGGAGGUGACACUUUUCAUUCUGCAACAUAUUCCAGGAAGUACAGCAAGAAGGCAUCCAUCCACAAGCCCGAGAGAGAGACUUCACCAGAACCCAGCCAUGCUGGCAAAGCUGAUCGUGGAUUUCCAGGCUCCAAAACUGAGAGACUUGUGACGGGGUAAGGGCCAUGGACCUGGCUGAGGCCUGCCAGCCUCACUGUUCUCUCGCUGAGCACUGACAUUAGAAAUUGACAUUAAGGGGGACCUUCAAGAUGGCAGAGGAGUAAGACAUGGAGAUCACCUUCCUCUCCACAAACACAUCAAAAAUACAUCUACGUGUGGAACAACCCCUACAGAACACCUACUAAAGGCUGGCAGAAGACCUCAGACUUCCCAAAAGGCAAGAAAAUCCCUACACACCUGGGUAGGGCAAAAGAAAAAAUAGAGACAAAAGAAUAGGGACAGGACCUGCACCUCUGGGAGGGAGCUGUGAAGGAGGAAAAGUUUCCACACACUAGGAAGCCCCUUCACGGGCGGAGACAGGGUGGGGUGGGGGUGGGGGGUAAGCUUUGGAGCCACGGAGGAGAGCACAGCAACGGGUGCAGAGGGCAAAGUGGAGAGAUUCCCGCACAGAGGAUCAGUGCCGACCAGCACUCACCAGCCUGAGAGGCUUGUCUGCUCACCCGCUGGGGCGGGCGGGGGCUGGGAGCUGAGGCUCAGGCUUCGGUGGUCUGGUCCCAGGAAGAGGACUGGGGUUGGCUGCAUGAACACAGCCUGAAGGGGGUAUAGUGCACCACAGCUAGCCGGGACGGAGUCCAGGAAAAACUCUGGACCUGCCUAAGAGGCAAAAGACCAUUGUUUCGGGGUGCACGAGGAGAGGGGAUUCCUUCCCCGUCUGCCCACAGAAGGCAGAGCAAUGCCUAAAGGAGCUCCAGAGACGGGUGCGAGCCGCAACUAUCAGCUUGGACACCAGAGGCAGGUGUGAAAUGCUAAGGCUGCUGCUGCAGCCACCAAGAAUCCUGUGUGCGAGCACAGGUCACUAGCCCCAUGCCCAACCCCCACCCCCCGCAAGCUUGUGCAGCCCGCCACUGCCAGGGUCCUGUGAUCCGGGGAACGGCACGCCUCAGGCUGUUGCAACACCACGCCAGCCUCUGCCGCCAAAGGCUCGCCCCGCAUUCCAA